GCUGGCGGCAGGCUUAACACAUGCAAGUCGAACGGUAGCAGGAAGAAAGCUUGCUUUCUUUGCUGACGAGUGGCGGACGGGUGAGUAAUGCUUGGGAAUCUGGCUUAUGGAGGGGGAUAACUGUGGGAAACUGCAGCUAAUACCGCGUAAUCUCUGAGGAGUAAAGGGUGGGACCUCUUGGCCACCUGCCAUAAGAUGAGCCCAAGUGGGAUUAGGUAGUUGGUGGGGUAAAGGCCUACCAAGCCUGCGAUCUCUAGCUGGUCUGAGAGGAUGACCAGCCACACUGGAACUGAGACACGGUCCAGACUCCUACGGGAGGCAGCAGUGGGGAAUAUUGCGCAAUGGGGGGAACCCUGACGCAGCCAUGCCGCGUGAAUGAAGAAGGCCUUCGGGUUGUAAAGUUCUUUCGGUAAUGAGGAAGGGAUGUUAUUAAAUAGAUGGCAUCAUUGACGUUAAUUACAGAAGAAGCACCGGCUAACUCCGUGCCAGCAGCCGCGGUAAUACGGAGGGUGCGAGCGUUAAUCGGAAUAACUGGG
rnacentral:rRNA from 1 species